ACUUGUUGAUGAGAGAGCUCAGAGGAGAAUGGGCAGACUGGUUCACGCUGACAGGAAGUCUACAGUAACACAAUAACCAUUCUUUACAACUGUGGUGAGAAGGAAAGCUCAGAUCUCAGAAUGGACAACAUGCUGCAAAUUCAGGCAGUCAGACUUCAACAGCAGAAGACAACAUCGGGUUCCGGCGGGAAUCAAUGGGCAUGAUAAUGAGUUAAGGGUACUUCAGUGACCUGCACAAUCAUUAGAUCUAAAUAAAGAAGAACAUCUUUGGGAUGUGGUUUUACAACAGUUAUUAAAACUAUUGCCUGUAUCCAGUGAAGAACUCACUCUAAAAAGCCAAUUCAAAUUAAAAUUGAAAUAAGCCUAAGCUGAGUGUAGGCUCUGUGGGUUUGAUACUGCUUCAACCACAGCCUCUCACACUUCCGUAUAAAAACUAGGCACCCUCCCAAUUUAGUUCUCAUUCACUUCACCUAGGCACUUCAACUUGGAAGAGGCCAUUAUACAGGGGAGCAGAACUGUUAUAUCUAAAUAUUCCAACUUCAUUUCAAUCUAAUAACAUGAUUGGCUUUUUUCAAGACUUCAAAAGGUAUUAAAUAGGAAAUGAGAAACAUGUGGGUCAAAAUGACAUGACUAUAAAACAAUGACACACAAGCUGUAGUUUGAUGACCCCUACAACUUGGAUUUUACCAAGUGGAAGUGUCUAGGGGAAGUAGGUAGAAGGUUGAAUUUGCUAGGAGAAAUUGAGACCACAGAGUGAGUUGUGUUCAGACUUCCUGUGGAAAAAUUUACCAGCGGCUAAAGAGCUAGACAAACAAUUACACAAUCACAAACUGUUUCUCUUAUCUGAAAAUUCUUUUUACUACCGCAAAGCAAAAUGUAGUCUUUUAAAUACAAUACUUUCCCUUUAGUUUUGCCCAGUUAUUUCUUCUGGAAUGGUUUAAUCAUAAAAAUGUUAAGUUUUUUUUUUAUAGUCAUUAUGAUUAAUUUCUCUACAUGAAAUUGAGUGCUUUUCACUUUAGCUCUAGUCCAAACCAGUUUCUACACUCUUCAGCCGCUGCCUCGCACAUUUCCUGAUUGAAACCGGGCACCCUCCCAAUGCAGUUCCUAAUCACUUCCCCUAGGCACUUCAACUCAGAAGAGUCCAUUAUGCAGGGGAGCACAGCUGUUGUUUUUAAACACUGUGACUUUAUAUUGCUCAAAAUAAUGACUACAACAGAACUUUAUUUCAUUUGUAUGUUUAUCCAAAAUAGAAGAAUACAUAAAAAAGAGAGCUCAUGGGGCAAAAUGACAUGCUUAUUAAAGAAUCUUGCACAAGCUGAAGUUUGAUCCCCCUGCAACUUGGAUUCUUCUAAGUGGAAGUGUUUAGGGGAAGUAAGUAUGGGAUUUAAUUGGGUUGAGACCCUUGAAGACCAUAAGGUCUGUGACAUGUUGUGCAAACACAGAAAAUCAGAAUUGAUCAUGGAAACAGCACCAGUGAAAUAUUCUGGUGAGUAUAUAAGAGAAGUUCUUUUCAAAAUAACACUCAUGGGGCCAUUUAUUUAAGGUAAAGACUACAUUGUAGAAGACAUGUACUGUAAUUAAAUAUCUAUAUUUACUUCCUGUUUCUAAAAAUCAAACAGGAAUUUAUUCUAAUGUGGAGCAGGUAAUUUAUCACCUUAAUGAUCCACGGUUAUGAAAUUCCUUAAAAUGCAUUAAAUAGUAUGUGGUACUCUUUCUAUUAAUAUCUCUGAAUCUUAUCAAAAAUGUUUGCUCAAAUGUUAAUUUAAACUAUGCAUAAAUAUAACUCUCAUGUGUCUCUGUUCAUCUCAUCCAGAACAAAAUCUGGCUUUGAACUACAGGAAACCAGGAUUUUGGUAACUGAAGCCAAAAAUGUGUUCAGUAUUUAGGUUGUAUAUGGCUUGAAUUCGGUUCUUGGUUUAAUUACUUGGUAUGAGACUUUGAAUCCACAGAGUGAGUUGUGUUCAGACUUCCUGUGGAAAAAUUUACCAGAGGCUGAAUGAUUUAAUCAUAAAAUGUUUAAGCUUUUGAUAGACUUUAUGAUAUUUCUCUACAUGUAAGAAGGUGUUUUUCACUUUAGUGUCAGUCCAAACCAGCUUCUAGGCUUUCCAGCCACUUCCUCGCACAUUUCUGGAUUGAAACCAGGCACCCUCCCAAUGCAGUUCUUACUCACUUCCCCUAGGCACUUCAACUCAGAAGAGUCCAUUAUGCAGGGGAGCACAGCUGUUGUUUUUAAACACCCUGAGUUUAUUUCAUUUAAAAUAAUGCCUACAAUGUGAUUUUACUUCAUUUGUAUGUUUAUCCAAAGUAGAAUAAACAAAGAAGAAAGCUCAUGGGGCACAAUGACAGGAUUAUUAAACAAUGUUGUACAAGCUGAUGUUUGUUUCCCCUGCAACUUGGACUCUCCUAAGUGGAAGUGUCUAGGGGAAGUAAAUAUGGGAUUGAAUUUGGUUGAGACCCUUGAAGAUCAUAAGAUCUGCUGUACAAACACACACACACACCAAAAAAAAAAAAAAAACCCAGAAGUGAUCAUGGGAACAUGUGAGUGUAUAAUAGAAAGCACUUGUUUGUUUAAAUGUCUAAUUUACUCAGGUAUCAAUGUUUGUAUUGUUACUACUUGCAUGGUUACACACAGUAUAUCUUGGGCAUAGACUGUUCUAGGUAGUACAAAUCAAAGUUUCAUUACUUGUACAUUGUGUUAGAGAGGUGAGUAUAAGUAGGCAAAAGGUCUGAAAUUGUUCACUGGUGUGAUGUUUUCUGCAGGUCAACACAUGUCUCUGGUUUGUCCUGCUCCAAACAGGAAUCACUUCUCUGGUUUCUCUUCUCACUACUGUCUUUCUUCUGUUUACAAGUUGGAGAGGAGAGCUGUUUGAGCGUUUCAUUUUACUCUAAGGAAAGACAAGAUCAGAACCAUGAACAUGACUCUACAAAUGAUUUUUAUCUUAUGGAAAGUGACAGUGAUCAAGAUUCGCUGCCCUCUUCUGAUGACCAUCAGUCCAUGGACACUCCCAACACUUUUGAAGGAAAUAUGUUCCUUUUUUCUGUUGGGUAAACAUACUAUAUACUGACCUUUACUGACAAAUAGCAAUAUCCAGAAGGAAGUCAGAUGCCUCUGAGGCUGACCAACAAUCCAGGAUGGAAGCAAAGCAAAACAACGUAAAGAAGACCAAAGGAACCUGCUUUAAGUCACGCUUUCAGUCUGCACUACGAGCUUUGCUGGUGUCUUGUGCCCCGUUCUGUAUGACCUCAAUUCCCACCAGAGAUGAGGCCGAUUGUGAUGGAUGCGUCCAUAGCAGAAAAGAGAGCAGCAGGAAACUCCACCCUGAGUAGAAAUGCUUUCAAAGCUGUGACAAUUUCCGCAUCUGAGAAAGACGAGAGACGAACGGAAGCUAAACUUUUACCAUGAUUCAUGAUCAGAAAGUCAGUAUGUCCUCUCCACUUCCUCAUUCCUGCUAAUGAUCAGACUGGGAGAUUCACAGUGGAGGAUCGAAAUGCCAUAAAGUGGAGAUUCGGGAGAACUUUGAUGGAGCGGUUCUUCAUGAGAGUGUUCACUGGCAAUAAUCACAUGGAGGAGCAUCGUUUGUUUUCAUAACCUUGCACUUUCAUUUUUCAUUUAUGGAUUUAAGGGUGUGAAAAUUGAGUAUGUAAGUGUUGCAUGUUUUUAUUUUACUGCUCCAAAGUCCUUCAUCUAAAUGCAAUUCCAAACUGGGGUCAAAAACAAAAUAAUCAUCGCAGGCAAAAUCUAUUAUCAUAAUCCAGCAGAGAGCCAGGAUUAAAACCAGAAGUCAAGCAGAAAUUACAGCAAAUUUAACGAGACUAGGAAACUAAGGGAUUAUAGAACUAUGGACCCAAACAAUACUUCUUGGAUUUACAGUAAAUGUUCUGCCUCUGUUAGAGGCUGUGUAUAGUUUAUUAUGGGCAUUUGCAUUUAUAAAUAUAAUAUUAUCUUAGUUGCUUAAUAUUCUCUACAAAUUCUGUUUUACCUGCCAUUAUUCUGUAAGGUUAUACAUGAGGACUCUUAUUGUGACGUGUUUUCGCAAGCACUGCAUGUUGGGUAACAGGAAGCAGCAAGCACAUGGCGCGGUGAAAACUCGAAACGUGUUUGUCGCAUCUGAGUCAAUCCUCCUUCUAAACUCUAACGAAACCAAUGGCUUUUUAUUCGUUUCAGUGGCCAGUGUUUCUGAGAUUGUAAACUGUACGUUGAAUAAUUAAAGGAGCAAGGUGCUCAUAUCCUGGCUCCUGAACAGAGUUUGCCUUGCUGUUUAUCUGCAUUCACGCUUGGAAAAGCAAACAUUUAGAGAGAACAGUAUAUACACAUCAUAAAACUGACCCGAAAUCAGUUGAAACCAUAGUAGACACUGGUUCAUAAGUUCAUGAGGAGAUCAACACCCCCUAGUGGCAACCAUCGGAAACGUUUCAAAGCAGUAAUGAUGUAAAUAAGCCUCGAAAUCACGUGACUUGCCCAGCUUGGUACAUGCUCCGAACCACUGAAUUUUUAUUUUUUUUUUAACAAGAUUUUUAAAAGGUUUCGCGGUUUCAUGAAGCAGUGUUUCAAACGCGGCCAUCACUAAGAAAUAGAAAAAUGGUAAUCAGGUACAGUUAAUGUAUGAGAGUGGCUGAGUAGUUGCUAUUGAAUAAUAAAUUGUCUGCUAAUCCGAUA